GGGCGCAAGCCUGAUGCAGCCAUGCCGCGUGUGUGAAGAAGGCCUUCGGGUUGUAAAGCACUUUCAGUAAGGAGGAAAGGUUAAGUGUUAAUAGCACUUAGCUGUGACGUUACUUACAGAAGAAGCACCGGCUAACUCCGUGCCAGCAGCCGCGGUAAUACGGAGGGUGCGAGCGUUAAUCGGAAUUACUGGGCGUAAAGCGUACGCAGGCGGUUUGUUAAGCGAGAUGUGAAAGCCCCGGGCUCAACCUGGGAACUGCAUUUCGAACUGGCAAACUAGAGUGUGAUAGAGGGUGGUAGAAUUUCAGGUGUAGCGGUGAAAUGCGUAGAGAUCUGAAGGAAUACCGAUGGCGAAGGCAGCCACCUGGGUCAACACUGACGCUCAUGUACGAAAGCGUGGGGAGCAAACAGGAUUAGAUACCCUGGUAGUCCACGCCGUAAACGAUGUCUACUAGAAGCUCGACUCUUCGGACUUGUUUUUCAAAGCUAACGCAUUAAGUAGACCGCCUGGG
rnacentral:rRNA from 1 species